rnacentral:rRNA from 1 species
CAGCCGCCGCGGGAAUACAGAGGGUGCGAGCGUUAAUCGGAUUUACUGGGCGUAAAGCGUGCGUAGGCGGCUUUUUAAGUCGGAUGUGAAAUCCCUGAGCUUAACUUAGGAAUUGCAUUCGAUACUGGGAAGCUAGAGUAUGGGAGAGGAUGGUAGAAUUCCAGGUGUAGCGGUGAAAUGCGUAGAGAUCUGGAGGAAUACCGAUGGCGAAGGCAGCCAUCUGGCCUAAUACUGACGCUGAGGUACGAAAGCAUGGGGAGCAAACAGGAUUAGAGACCCGUGUAGUCCCUGUCUCUUAUAA